rnacentral:pre_miRNA from 1 species
UGGGAUAGAGUGGGUGUGGCAGGGGGGUAGCAGAGCCCAGGGCAACCUCUCCCUUCAUGUGCCCAGAUCCUGCAUGC